GAUGAACGCUGGCGGCGUGCCUAAUACAUGCAAGUCGAGCGAACAGACGUGGAGCUUGCUCCUCUGACGUUAGCGGCGGACGGGUGAGUAACACGUGGAUAACCUACCUAUAAGACUGGGAUAACUUCGGGAAACCGGAGCUAAUACCGGAUAAUAUAUUGAACCGCAUGGUUCAAUAGUGAAAGACGGUUUUGCUGUCACUUAUAGAUGGAUCCGCGCCGCAUUAGCUAGUUGGUAAGGUAACGGCUUACCAAGGCAACGAUGCGUAGCCGACCUGAGAGGGUGAUCGGCCACACUGGAACUGAGACACGGUCCAGACUCCUACGGGAGGCAGCAGUAGGGAAUCCUCCGCAAUGGGCGAAAGCCUGACGGAGCAACGCCGCGUGAGUGAUGAAGGUCUUCGGAGCGUAAAACUCUGUUAAUAGGGAAGAACAAAUGUGUAAGUAACUAGGCACGUAUUGACGGGACCUAAACAGAAAGCCACGGCUAACUACG
rnacentral:rRNA from 1 species